UGCGUAGGCGGACUAAUAAGUCAGUGGUGAAAUCUCUCGGCUCAACCGGGAAACUGCCAUUGAUACUGUUAGUCUUGAGUUCGGUUGAGGUAGGCGGAAUGUGUAAUGUAGCGGUGAAAUGCUUAGAUAUUACACAGAACACCAAUUGCGUAGGCAGCUUACUAGACCGACACUGACGCUGAGGCACGAAAGCGUGGGUAGCUAACAGGAUUAGAUACCCUGGUAGUCC
rnacentral:rRNA from 1 species